UGAGCAGAAACAGAUUGUUUCACGGGAAGGAAACCCAAGUGUGUGAGGCAGAUAUAGAGCGAAGAGAAAACUGCUGUCGCCCACUAAAAUAAUAAUAAUAAAUAUAUAACGUUAAAGGACUAAAACACGAGAUCUACGGCAUCAGUAUCCACAGCACUUCACUUUGAAGUAACAGAGUGUUAUUUGCAGUCUUCUGCCAUGGCUACAAAUAAUGGUUACCCAAUUGACCUCCAACCACAGAAAAAUGCAAUUCAUCCCGCCCCUUCUUAUAACCAGGGACCAGCUAUACCAGGCCCAGGUCAAGUGCUCAUGAUGCCAGUUCCACAAAGACCCGCUGGCUGCCCACCAGGAUUGGAGUACCUGACCCAGAUUGAUCAACUUCUUGUACAGCAGAAAGUUGAGCUGGCUGAAGGUAAUUUUGUGAUG